GAUGAACGCUGGCGGCGUGCUUAACACAUGCAAGUCGAACGGAAAGGCUCCUGCUUGCCGGGGUACUCGAGUGGCGAACGGGUGAGUAACACGUGGGUGAUCUGCCCUGCACUUCGGGAUAAGGCUGUGAAACUUGGUCUAAUACCGGAUAGGACGAUGGUGUGGAUGCCAUUGUGGAAAGUUUUUUCGGUGUGGGUUGAGCUCGCGGCCUAUCAGCUUGUUGGUGGGGUAAUGGCCUACCAAGUCGUCGACGGGUAGCCGGCCUGAGAGGGUGUACGGCCACAUUGGGACUGAGAUACGGCCCAGACUCCUACGGGAGGCAGCAGUGGGGAAGAGUGCACAAUGGGAGGAAGCCUGAUGCAGCGACGCCGCGUGGGGGAUGACGGCCUUCGGGUUGUAAACUCCUUUCGCUAGGGACGAAGCGCAAGUGACGGUACCUGGAGAAGAAGCACCGGCUAACUACGUG
rnacentral:rRNA from 1 species